AUUCAUCUUCAACUUCUCCCAACAAUGGCCUGGAGUUUUCUGUGCAUGUGUCUGGCAUGUUUUCCUUUAGAUCUAGUCGUAGGUGUUCGAUAUGCUAUUGAGGACUGUGUAUUGUUAUUUCAUUUGUCACCUGUGCGUGGUGCUUUAAUCCUGUGCCCUAAACUCCCGCCUUGGCCAUGGCAGUGUUUCUGUGGACUCGCGGGGUUUCCGUGUGCACACGCGUGUCCUCUGUCUGACAGUGGCUUUGCUUCCCCUUGUCAGUCUGUGCCUCGGCUUCUCACUGCACUGGCGAGGUGAGCCGGCGCUUGCUUAUCUUAUUCCCAGUCUCGGUGAACAUGGGCUCGGUCUCUCCCGGCUCAGUGUUGGGUUUGCACUGGUGCACUUACAGGCGGAAGAGCUUCCUCAUUUGCUGAGGGCUUUUCCUGAAUCCGUGUUGGAUGUGGUCAGCUGCCUUUCCUGCAUCUAGUGAGAUGCUCAUGAGGUCACUUCCUUACCGCAUUACUGUAGUGAAUUACGCUGACUUUCAUAUGCCAAGAUGACCUGGCAUUUCCAGUGGUCUUUCUAUUUUCUCAUCAAAUUGAGACUUUGGGGAAACUACAGAGCAGCAAACCAGGAUAUAUCCUCUUAAAAACAGCUCGAGCUGGCCGGGCGCAGUGGCUCACGCCUGUAAUCCCAGCACUUUGGGAGGUGGAGGUGGGCAGAUCACGUGAGGUCAGGAGUUUGAGACCAGCCUGGCCAACAUGGUGAAACCCCAUCUUUACUAAAAAUAAAAAAUUAGCCAGGCAUGGUGGCAGGCACCUGUAAUCCCAGCUACUUGGGAGGCUGAGGCAGGAGAAUGGCUUGAACCUGGGAGGCAGAGGUUGCAGUGAGCCGAGAUUGCGCCAUUGCACUCCAGCCUGGGGGACAAGAGCAAGACUUCGCCUCAAAAAAAAAAAAAAAAAAAACCCCAGCUUGAGCCAAGUGUGGGUGGCUCCCGCCUGGAAUCCCAGCACUUUGGGAGGCUGAGGUGGGCAGAUCACUUGAGGCCAGGAGUUUGAGACCAGCCUGGCCAACAUCACAAAAUCCCAUCUCUACUAAAAAUACAAAAAUUAACCAGGAGUGGUGGCAGCAUCUGCCUAUAAUCCCAGCUACUCGGGAGCCUAAGGCACGAGAAUCACUUGAAGCUGGGAGACAGAGUUUGCAGUGAGCCAAAAUCGUGCCACUGCUCUCCAGCAUGGAUGACAGAGCAAGACUCUGUCUCAAAAAAAAAAAGCUUGAAAAUUAAAAAAUAUCUCAAUAAUUAUGAGAUGCAGUGAUUUUUUUUUUACUUCCCUAAGCUGGGUUUCCAGGUAUCUCUAGGUUCAGCUUCUCCGGGGCUGGAAGUACAUGAAGGGCAGCAUUGCCCACCUUGACCAGAGCAGGCUCGGAGCAGGGCAGUGGAAGAGCUGGUCCCAGCUCAGCCCAGCCUGCUGGGUCAGCAUCCAUCUGAAAGGUCAUCUCUACCCAGGAACUUGGUGGCUUCCAGCUCCACCCUAACAGAAACCUCCCCAGCAUCUUGCCGAGUUGUAAUCCAGGGUGGUGGUAUAGACGGUCUUGGGGUAGCUGGUAUAGACAGUCUUGGGGUAGCUGGUAUAGACGGUCUUGGGGUAGCUGGUAUAGACGGGCUUGGGGUAGCUGGUAUAGAUGGGCUUGGGGUAGCUGGUAUAGACGGUCUUGGGGUAGCUGGUAUAGACGGGCUUGGGGUAGCUGGUAUAGACGGGCUUGGGGUAGCUGGUAUAGACGGGCUUGGGGUAGCUGGUAUAGACGGUCUUGGGGUAGCUGGUAUAGACGGUCUUGGGGUGGCUGGUAGUGGUGCCGAGGAGGUGUGUGGGCUGGUGCUGCAGCUGGAAGCGCACCUCAGCCAUGGUGUUGUGCCAGGUGUGGUUGGGGAUGCAGGGGACCUUCCGGCCGCAGGAGGCCCCUGCCAGGCAUAGGCAGCUGCGCGGUGUGGAAGAAGUGCCGCUCGGAGUCGUGCUUGACAAGGAAGUACACCUUACUCCUCUCAGUGGUGAGGGGUCAAACCACUCCUUCCCAGCGAUGGGGCCAGCAGCCUGGCGAGGGCUAGGCACCGGGGAGGGAUGCUGGAUUUGGAGCUGGGGGGAAGGGGUCACCCUGCAUUGGGCUCCAGUGCUCCGGGUGCCAUGCCUGCUCCCCCACCACUGCCCCCGCUGCCGCCGCGGGACCCCAGGGGCUAGGGCUGAAGAGCAGCCUCGAGCCGGGCUGUCCAGGAUGCGGUCACCCUUCUUCCUCGUGUCCGUAAGCUCAGGCACAACCUGCAGCUUAGCCAGCCCACUAUGGCUGCGCGCGUGGCAGGGCCCGGGCCACCAUGGCUGCGUGCGUGGUAGGGCACAUGAUUAUUUUAGCCUCUGGUAUCACUAGCCAUCCCUAAAGUCUCCAAUGGUCUGUUCCUGUCUUUCCCUCUGGUUCACUUGUGGGGUCAUGUUGUCUUCUGUUCUUUGUUAUUUCUUAUUUUUUUUCUUGAGACGGAGUCUUGCUCUGUCGCCCAGGCUGGAGUGCGUUGGUGCGAUCUCGGCUCACUGCAACCUCUGCCUCCCAGGUUCAAGCGAUUCCCCUGCCUCAGCCUCCCAAGUAGCUGGGACUAUGGGCACCUGCCACCAUACCCAGCUAAUUUUUCUGUGUGUGUGUGUGUGUGUGUGUGUGUGUGUGUGUGUGGGUGUGUGUUUUGUUUUUUGUUUUUUUUUUGAGAUGGAAUCUCACUCAAUUGCCCAGACUGCAGUGCAAUGGCGCAAUCUUGGCUCACUGCAACCUCCACCUCCUGGGUUCAAGAAAUUCUCCUGCCUCAGCCUCGCAAGUAGCUGGGAUUACAGGCCCGUACCACCACAGUGGGCUAAUUUUUGUAUUUUUAGUAGAGACAGGGUUUCACCAUGUUGGCCAGGCUGGUCUCGAACUCCUGACCUCAGGCAAUCCGCCCACCUCGGCCUCCCAAAGUGCUGGGAUUGUAGGCAUGAGCCACCAUGCUUGGCCUAAUUUUUCUAUUUUUAGUAGAGACAGGACUUCACCAUGUUGGCCAGGCUGGUCUCAAAUUCCUGACCUCAAGUGAUGUGCCCACCUCGGCUGCCCAAAGUGCUGGGAUUACAGGCGUGAGCUUCCGUGCCCGGCCUGAACUGUUAAGUGUUUGUGAAGAAUUAUUUGGGGGCCUAUUUGAGAGCUGUUAUAUGGAUCAUCCUCCUGGAGAGGGUUCUUAGCCUCUGAGACCGGGUUUGGGGCUGAGGCUUUCUGACCCACACAAGUCAUGCUGACCCCUGAAGGGCCGCAGGCCAGAUCUUGCCAGGUGAGCACUUUCCCUGCUCACAUUCAGGAUAGGGCGAGGGGGUUGGUACUGAUUCACCCUGAGGGCCUAGAUUUGGGGGCUUCAGCUUGCUGCAGAUAGGUGCUCCCUUCACUCUCACCUGAGGCUGGGCUGGAGCCUGGUGUCUGCCCCACCCUGCUGGUCAGCCCCCCAGGACCUGAGCCCCGUAAGCCUGGACUGGCCACGCCCUGGGGCAGCAGCACUGGGUGCUUGGCGCUCAUGACCUUCCUGGGCCCCUGCGUCCCUCACUUCUCCCUUGUUUCUACCUUCCUGGCUUGUCAGAUUCCCACAGCUCUUAAGGAGAAAUUCAGUAUUUACUGCAGCAUGUGUUUUCAGUGUGAUGGUUCGUCCAGGUACCCUAGCCUGUCGUUGCUGGAAUUGGAAAUCUUUGUUGUCUGCUGUUGUUUUGUGAAACAAGCGUGUGAGGUUAUAAGUUUCCCUCAACGUACCACACUAACCACAUUUCCCGAAGUUUUGAUGUGUAGUAUUUUCACUGCCAUUCAGUUCAAAAUAUUUUCUCAUUUCAA